GGAUUCUAGGUACCUCAUAUAAGUAGAAUCUUAUAAUAUUUGUCCUGUUGCAUCUGGCUUAUUUUAUUUAGCAUAAUGUCUUCAAAGUUCAUCUAUAUUAUAUCAGAGUUUUAUUCCUUCUUAAGGCUGAAUAAUAUCCCAUUGUAUUCACAUACCAAAUUUUGUUUAUCUGCUUAUCCAUUGGUGGAAAUUUAGGUUGUGUCCAUUUUUUGGCUAUUGCGAAUAAUCUUGCGAUGAACAUUAAUGUGUAAAUGUCUGUUUGAGACCCUGAUUUCAAUUUUUGGGGUAUAUACUCCAAAAUGAAACUGAUGGAUCAUAGGGUAAUUCUAUACUUAAUUUUUUUUAGGAACUGCCAUACUUUUUUACACAGCAGCUGCACCAUUUUACAUUCCCACCAGCAAUGCACAACGGUUCUGAUUUCUCUAUGUCUUUUACUGCUGAAAGCAUCCUGAGUGACACAAACUUGAAGCAUGCAAGAGGACUAAAUAACUUCCAAAGUCACACAUAUUGCAUGUCAAGAGCCAGCUUCAAACUCAAGUCCCUGUGACCAGAGGUCGAUGCUCUAAACACAUUUCUGCAUGACCUGCUUGUGGCAGCCUGGAGAAAUUCUACAUAAAUCUUCUCAGAUUCCAGAGGCUGCGAGGUCUGAGAUCAAGGAUCUGACACCUGGUGAGGGCCUUUUUGCUGCAUCAUUUCACAUAGAGACAAAAAGAUUCUCACCUGUAAGCUUGAAUUAUGUCUACAUCAUGCUUGGGAAAUGUCCAUAUAUUCUAAGCUUGAAACUGCAGUGAUGAGGACGUCACCACUUCCAGAGAGAACACUUUACUACCAGGCAACUUGAGUACAAUAGGCAGCCACAAAUAUCAUCCUUGCUAGCCAGGAAUGACAAGGAGCAAGCCACAUGAGGAGUCAGAAAAGAUUAUUCCAGGCAGGGCUGAGAUCUGCAUUAUGGUCUGGAGGCUGCCCCAGUCUCUCCUUUACCUCCAUAUUUUUCUCACAGGUAAUUUCUUAUCUUGCAUAUAUAAUUCUAUCUUACAUCUAUUGCUUAUAGGACCAGAAUUAACGUAUUUGGGCUUGAACUUCCUCAUCUGUGAAAUGUGACUAUAAUUAUAACAGCUAAAUUCUCAAGAUUAACCUCUUAGCUUUCAGGACUGCUUAUGUUUCAUAAAUGUAGUUAUUUUGAGAAUAUUUAUGUAUAAUAUUUAUAACAGGAAAGAAAAGUAAGUAAACAAGUUUGUGCCAAAACUCUACAUCAAUUCAAUAGCUUUGUGAAUAGAGUGAUUAGAAAAACACAAUUAGACUAUUGAAAGUUGAGAAAAAUUAUCUAAAAUUGUGGUACCUAAACCAUACUAGGAAGGAAGCAUCAUUGUCUACAAGUUAGUAAUUAUGGGUAAAUCACUCAGAAAAGUGUCUAGCAUAAAAACAACUUAAUAAAUGUUCACUAUUAUUAUUUUGUUUCACUUGUUACCACUUCUGUAAGCUGACCUUCAAAUGGGUAAAGUUAGCAGCCAUGACAUGAACAAUAUCUAAACAAGUUGGCAUGGGCUAUAUUCCAAAAAAGUCUUAUUUAUGGUCACAGAAAUUUUAAUUUUAUAUAAUUUUAACACAUCACAAAGUAUUCCUAUUCUUGUAAUUUUUUCUCAUUGUUUAAAAAUGUUAGCAAAUGCAGGUCAACAAAAGAUAUUGCCAAACCAUACUAUGUUAUACCUGGAUUGAAACUCAGGGAUGGGUAUAGGUGAAAAAAAAAAAAUAAGUGUGGGUUAGGGGAAAAGGAAAAGAAUAGAGUAAGACAGAGAGAGAGAGAGCUAUAAAGACUUUCAUCUUUAGCUUUGCACCUUGUGGAAUAGUGGUCUUGGUCCAUUUGUGUUGCUACAAAGGAAUACCUGAGAUUGAUUAAUUUAUAAAGGAAAAGUUGUAUUUGUCUCAUGAUUCUGCUGGCUGAAAAUCUGGCAUCUGGUGAAAACCUGAGGCUGCUUUCACUCAUGUAAGAAGGUGAAAGUGAAGGGGAGCCAGUGCAGGGAGAGAUCACUUGGUGAGAGAGAAAACAAGAGAGAGGGAAGGAGGCACCAGGCUCUUUUUAACAACCAGCUCUUGUGGGAACUAAUAAGAAUGGGAACUCACUCAUCCUCCCUCAGGAGGGCAUUCAUCUAUUCAUGAGGGGUCCACAUCAUGAUCCCAUUAGGCCAUGUCUUCAACACUGGAGAUCAGAUUUCAACGUGAGAUUUGGAGGGGCCAGAUAUCCAUACUGUAGCAUGGUCCAAGCCAAAUAGAUCUAAAGACAAGGUAAGGUAACAUAACUCUAGCUAAUAUUUUGGACACAUGGACACACAAGAAGAAUUGAUCCUUUAAUUCUGUUACUAACUUGAGGUAGUCUAGAUCAAGGAUCAGCAAACUACAGACAAUGGACAAAAUCCAGCCUACCACCUGCUUUUGUAUGUUCUGCAAGCUAAGAAUGUUUUUAUAUCUUAAAAUUGUUGAAUAAUAUUUUGUGACAUGUGAAAAUUAAAUGAAAUUCAAAUUUCCAUGAUUAUACAUAAAGUUUUACUGGAACACAGCCACGCCAAUUUGCAGACAUGUUGCUUUUGGCUGCUUUCUGGCUACAAGACAGUCAAGUAGUUGUAACAGAGACCACAUUGCCAAAAAAACCUAAAAUAUUUACAAUGAGGCCUUCUACAGAAAAUGUUUUGCAUCUCCUGGUUAAUAUCCAUACUCCAAUAUCACAUUUUGGGGGAUCCACAUUCUGGUUUGUAAUUUUCAAAAACUUUGGACACAAGUGACCCAUUUCUAAUGUUCAAGGAGAGGCUUUGAUGGGAAGUGCUGACCCUCCUUUCUGAAGAGUGAUAUUAAUAAAAUUGUUUCAGUCAGCCAGUCUAGGAACAGGCAAUCUCCUGUCUGCCACAUGUGCCAAGUUAAUAAGCCUCCAAGAAGGUUACAUUGCAGGUCUUGCUUUGUGCCUGGAACAUCUUGGUAAUUAUCAAACAGCUUCAUUAAACACACUGGUUCCCUAUACUGUACUUCAGGCUUUGUUUUAGUUAUAUUUUUCCAUUCUCUAAAUAGAUCUGUGUAUUCAUUGCUUUGUCUUAUUAUGUUGAAUGUUACACUGAACUGUACCUAGACACUAACAGCUGAACAGCAGAAUGGGACAAGCAGAUUUAAAAAAUAUAUAUAUCCAACAAAUUUUUUUCUAAGGUACUGUGGAAUCUGCAUUCAACUCAUUGAUAUAUCCUGAAGUAGGCUUUCUAUUGGCUUAUUUCUAAGAAUGUGUUGUCUUUCCUGAUUUCAGCAUUCAAUUAUUUUCUCUUUUUUUUCUUUUGAACUUUUUGGUGAUUUUUUGGGUAAGUCCCUUUCUUGUUCUUUAUAAAAGAGAAAAAAUAGAACAUUGAAGAAAAAGAACAGAAUUUUAACUAACACUUCUUAUGCUUAAACUAAGUAAGGUGAAAGAAAGGAAGCUUGGAAUAAUCCAAUUUUCUCUUAUAACUGGUAUGGGCACUCACCCUUACAGUUAUUUAAGCUUAAAUGCAAGUGUUUAUAUUUUGCUUGUUUUAGUUUACAUCUUAUCAUUUAUAGGAGGCUGUGUAAUGCACCCUAAGUAAAGACAUCAUUUGCAUAGCUCACAGUCAAAUGGAGACUCAGUGAGUAUUAUGAAAUAUCAAAUUAGAGAAAUCAUGUAAAAAUAACUUCCCUCUGCCUCAAUCUCAGCUGCAUUUCAUCUUGCCCUACAUUUUUGUGGACCUGUAUAUGCAGAUAAAUGUAUGACUUCACAAGUUUGCUUGAAGUGUAUGAGAAAGACAAAGCUUUACACUUAUGGAGCUAACAAGAUCCUGAAACACUUUGACAUCAGUUGCUUUGGCAACUUUAGGCUGAAUCAAUUCAUUACACCCUGAUAUUAGUUGACAUCCUGUGUGGAUAUUUUAUGGGAGGGGGAUGGUCCACAAACUGACAUAGUCCUGACCCAGAAAAUUCUCUGGGAACAAGAAUUCCACUUGGAUCCAUCCAUUGCUAUUUUUCUCAGCCUCAGGAGUGAAUGUGUUGACAUGUACAUGCUUGUUCACCCUGCCAGCAUUUACUAAGCACCAGCUAUAAGUUAAGAUCACAGACAUAAAGAUGAAUUAAGACAUCUUUAAUUUUCCCAUGGUGUUUCAUGUCUAGUACAGAGAUGACUUAUAAGUCCUGCUACAAGGGGAUAUUACACAGGCUCUGAAAGAUCUGCAUACAAGUUUUGCCCACAUACAUAUGAAGAAAGAAAGACUUCUUAGAGAAGAGAAUACUCAUGCUUAGAACCUAGAGAUGUGUGGGAGUAACCAGGAGAACAAGGACAUAUCAUUCCAGAGAGAUGGGGAUGGAUGGUAGCUGGUCGCUGAAGAUCUUUCCCCUGCCUUCCCCACAUCCAUAGUCAUACCUCACAGUAUUCCUGUCCUUGUGUAAUCCCCAACCAUUGGGUCUGGACUUGCUCUUGGAUUUACUCUUGGUUAAUAGAAUGUGGCAGAAUUGUUGCUGUGUGACUUCUGAGGCUUGAUCCUAAGAAAUCUAUGGCUUUCUUCUGGGCCUCUUUGAACUCUUGGCUUUUAGAUGUUCCCUCUUGAAAGCCACCUCAGAAUUGCACCUACCUGAGCCCCUCAUGUUGUGAGAAUCCUGAGCCAUUGGGAAGACUCUGGAGAGUGAGACAUCACACUGAGUAGGAGAGGCCAAGAGCCUCAGUGUGAGGCCCCAGGUGUGCAUGAAGAAGCUGUCUUGAAAGUAUGUCUUCCAGCUCCUUCCACCUUAGCUGAAGCAUGGAAUUGGGCCCUUCCUAAAUUAAUAAUCCUCAAAAAUAUGAGCAAAAUAAAUGAUUAUUAAAAGCCCCAAUGUUUUGAGGGUGGUUUCACAUAGCAAUGAACAACCAAAAUAGAGGGUAUAUGUGCAAAAGUGUUGAGUAUGCAGGGUGUAUGUUUCAAAAAAAUUAUGACCUGGAAGUAGCAGGUAGUUCAAUAGAUUUUCAUGGUCGGAGAAAGAAUGCUAGCCGGAAUAUACUGGUAUUGGAACAUUUACAGCUACAAGUGUGGAAACACUAGCUCGAUCUGAGUUCAGAGGUAAAGCUGACUCCAAUCAUGAAUGAGACAAAUUAUUCAAAUGAGGUCAUGAAGUCUUUUUC
rnacentral:lncRNA from 1 species